rnacentral:rRNA from 1 species
GACGAACUGCCCAAACGUUGUUCGGAAUCACUGGGCUUAAAGGGCGCGUAGGCGGCAGAUCAAGUCAGGGGUGAAAUCCGGCAGCUCAACUGUCGAAGUGCCUUUGAUACUGAUUUGCUCGAGGGAGAUAGGGGUCUGUGGGACUUCUGGUGGAGCGGUGAAAUGCGUUGAUAUCAGAAGGAACGCCGGUGGCGAAAGCGACGGACUGGAUCUCUUCUGACGCUGAGGCGCGAAAGCUAGGGGAGCAAACGGG